rnacentral:rRNA from 1 species
UAAUACGUAGGGGGCAAGCGUUGUCCGGAAUUAUUGGGCGUAAAGCGCGCGCAGGCGGUUCCUUAAGUCUGAUGUGAAAGCCCACGGCUCAACCGUGGAGGGUCAUUGGAAACUGGGGAACUUGAGGACAGAAGAGGAGAGUGGAAUUCCACGUGUAGCGGUGAAAUGCGUAGAUAUGUGGAGGAACACCAGUGGCGAAGGCGACUCUCUGGUCUGUUUCUGACGCUGAGGUGCGAAAGCGUGGGUAGCAAACAGGAUUAGAUACCCUGGUAGUCCACGCCGUAAACGAUGAGUGCUAGGUGUUAGGGGGCUUCCACCCCUUAGUGCUGAAGUUAACGCAUUAAGCACUCCGCCUGGGGAGUACGGCCGCAAGGCU